AUUGAACGCUGGCGGCGGGCCUAACACAUGCAAGUCGAACGGUAACAGGAAGCACCUUCCUGCUUCGCUGUCGAGUGGCGGGCGGGUGAGUAAUGUCUGGAAAACUGCCUGAUGGAGGGGGAUAACUACUGGAAACGGUCUAUAAUACCGCAUAACGUCGCACCGCCAAGGUGGGGGACGUUAGAGCGUCUUGCCAUCAGAUGUGGCCAGAUGGGAUUAGCUAGUAGGUGGGGUAACGGCUAACCUAGGCGACGAUCCGUAGCCGAUCUGAGAGGGUGACCAGCCACACUGGAGCUGAGACACGGUCCAGACUCCUACGGGAGGCAGCAGUGGGGAAUCUUGCGCAAUGGGCGAAAGCCUGAUGCAGCAAUGCCGCGCGUGUGAAGAAGGUCUUCGGGUCGUAAAGCACUUUUAGUGGGGAGGAACGGAGGAAAGUUAAUACCUUCGCUCAUUGACGGUACCUGAAGAAGAAGCACCGGCUAACUACGUG
rnacentral:rRNA from 1 species